UACAGAGGGGGCAAGCGUUGUUCGGAAUUACUGGGCGUAAAGGGCGCGUAGGCGGCCUGCUAAGUCGAACGUGAAAUCCCCGAGCUCAACUCGGGAACUGCGUCCGAUACUGGCAGGCUUGAAUCCGGGAGAGGGAUGCGGAAUCCCAGGUGUAGCGGUGAAAUGCGUAGAUAUCUGGAGGAACACCGGUGGCGAAGGCGGCAUCCUGGACCGGCAUUGACGCUGAGGCGCGAAAGCCAGGGGAGCAAACGGG
rnacentral:rRNA from 1 species